rnacentral:rRNA from 1 species
GAAAAGAACUUUGAAAAGAGAGUAAAAUAGUACGUGAAAUUGUUGAAAGGGAAACGAUUGAAGUCAGUCGUACCGACGAGAAUUCAACUCUUCAAGUGCGAACUUGUGGGCGUGCGUGAGCUUUAAAACCUCGCUGUUUGCAACGUUUGUGCUUUUUGGGUGUACUUUUUCGUAUGGUUGGCCAACGUCAGUUUCGUUUACCAUAAAAUGAUCGGAGGAAUGUAGCUUCGAUCUCGUAUUGAAGUGUUAUAGCCUCUGGUAGAUGUGGUGAACGAAACUGAGGAUUGCAACGAAUACCCUUUGGGCUAUCCGUCUGACCUCUGAAAGUUGCUUAGGUGCCGAAAGCGUGCUUACGGUUAUUUAAGUUAACGGUCAACAGGUUAGAACGUGAUUACAUUCG